rnacentral:tRNA from 1 species
GCGGCUGUGGCGGAACUGGCAGACGCGCACGGUUGAGGGCCGUGUGAGAGAUCGUGGGGGUUCAAGUCCCUUCAGCCGCACCA